rnacentral:misc_RNA from 1 species
GCCACGAAACACCAACCGGGAAGCCAAAGGAACGUCGAUAAUGAUCUCUUUUUGUGUCGGCUUCUUUUCAUCACGAAUGGCGAUCAAGUAACUCCUUCCAACCCACCCGAUCCACCCGGCUAUGUACAGGAACAGAAUCCCGGGAGUGAUGAAUUCGCCCCAAUGUCUUUGGUCUCCACUCACGAUCAAGUGUGGCAACCCGUCCG